rnacentral:rRNA from 1 species
UAGGGAAUCUUCCGCAAUGGGCGAAAGCCUGACGGAGCAACGCCGCGUGAGUGAUGAAGGUCUUCGGAUCGUAAAACUCUGUUAUUAGGGAAGAACAAAUGUGUAAGUAACUAUGCACGUCUUGACGGUACCUAAUCAGAAAGCCACGGCUAACUACGUGCCAGCAGCCGCGGUAAUACGUAGGUGGCAAGCGUUAUCCGGAAUUAUUGGGCGUAAAGCGCGCGUAGGCGGUUUUUUAAGUCUGAUGUGAAAGCCCACGGCUCAACCGUGGAGGGUCAUUGGAAACUGGAAAACUUGAGUGCAGAAGAGGAAAGUGGAAUUCCAUGUGUAGCGGUGAAAUGCGAAGAGCUAUGGAGGAACACCAGUGGCGAAGGCGACUUUCUGGUCUGUAACUGACGCUGAUGUGCGAAAGCGUGGGGAUCAAACAGG